GUACUGUUGAGGAGUCUCACAACAGGACGAAACGGCCGUCCAGUGC
rnacentral:hammerhead_ribozyme from 1 species